rnacentral:tRNA from 1 species
GCGGAUAUGGCGGAACUGGCAGACGCACCAGGUUUAGGUCCUGGCGGGGCGACCCGUGGGGGUUCAAAUCCCUCUAUCCGCACCA